GGACCUGCAGAUGGGGCAGCUUUAGUGACGUGUGCAAAAAUCCAGCACAAGGCAAGACGGCGUAGUGUUGUGUUGGUAGCCAACUGCUUUGUAAGCCGAAGGGGACGUUAUAGCUACGACGUUUAAAAGUAGGGCUGUUAAUGCUAUGUGAGAAACAAUAACGUAAAAGUGUGGGCACCUGUUUAACGAGCUAACUUUAGCGGUCUCCGAGAUUCUUGAGAGGAAUGCAGGAGAAAUUGACUAAACCGUAUUAUUUCCAAACUGUGGAUGACAGUAUGAAGGUGUGAGAGCAGCGUGAUGAGCCAACAGAGUAUCAGAAGAUAGGUAAAAGAGAGACCCACCUCUGUUAUUCCGUCAGCCAGUUAACAGCAGAGGAUGCGACUCCAUGCCCCGUGACCAUGGUCGCUGUGCACGCCAAGAUCAACCUUUGGCAUAUGCAGUGCAACACUAACAUCUUCAAUCUUGACUUCCCAAAGCAAAGGAAGAACGACA